rnacentral:lncRNA from 1 species
GAGGAGGUCUCGGACAGUGCCUGACUCCCGAGCCGUUCCCCCCGUGGAGGAGGUCUCGGACAGUGCCUGACUCCCGAGCCGUUCCCCCCGUGGAGGAGGUCUCGGACAGUGCCUGACUCCCGAGCCGUUCCCCCCGUGGAGGAGGUCUCGGACAGUGCCUGACUCCCGAGCCGUUCCCCCUGUGGAGGAGGUCUCGGACAGUGCCUGACUCCCGAGCCGUUCCCCCCGUGGAGGAGGUCUCGGACAGUGCCUGACUCCCGAGCCGUUCCCCCCGUGGAGGAGGUCUCGGACAAUGCACAGAGACUCGGUGCGGAAGACCCGCGCCAUUCCCACAGGCGUGUCCUGCUCUUUUCGGGACUGGCUGCAGAAGAGUCCCUGCCUGCAGCUCCCUCAGCUCAGAGGACGCUGGUGAGGCCAGGCCUCUGGCUGUUCCAGGCAGACCCAGCACCCAUGUCAGGAGCAGCCAGUGUCUCCCCAGGACGGCAGAUGGAGGCAAACCCUGGUGUCUGAGUGGCUUCAAAUAGCUGUACACCUGGAAGCCUCAAAGUGCAGGGAACACGGCAGAUGGGGGCAGGUGGAUGCCCAGGAAGCCUCACCACAGUCACCUGGCUUAUUUGCCCCGGCCGGGCCAUUCACAAGGCUUGCUGCUGAAAAGCAGUAGGCUCUGCCCACCCAGCUUUGCACUGCAGGCCUGGCUCCAACCCACACAGCAAAACGGAACCAGAAGCAGGAGUUCCAAGCCAGCCGUGCCUUUCUCUCCACUUCCUUCCCUGGGUGCAACCACAGCGGCGUGGUAGUGACUGUGGAUAGUAAGUUCCUGCAUUGCGGCUCUUCUGCCCCGCGUCAAGGGUGAGCUUCCUGCUCUGCCGAUGUGCUUUGCCUCCUGGAAGCUUCAGACAUGGAAGCCAUGUUCUGCAGGACCAGGAGAAACCCCACUUUCAUCCCACGUCUCUGGUUAUCAGAGCAUCAAAUCCAAGUUUGACCUACAUUACAGGGCAAGUCGGUCAUGAGCACACACUGGACCAUGACAAAUUGAUUGUCGUGACUUUAUUGAUGUCAAGGGGGAUACAGUGCCACGAUUAAUAAUUUACCCAACAGAGAAAAGCUUUUCUUGUCUCUGUGAUGCCGGAGAGCCCAAGGUUUGAUUGUUCCAAGUCCGAGCACUAAGGAGGGAGGUGCUCACACUUACAGCUCAGGUGAAAAUCCACAGCAGAAGAUUCCUGGUAGCCUCCUUUCUGCGUGCCCACAAGUCGUCGAGGCAGAAAGUGAAGUUUGUUCUCUUAUAACAAACCAUUUGGACAGACACUUGGUUUUUCUGUUCUCAGAAUUUUUUCUGCUCUACCCAAACUAGGGGUUGGCGUUGCAUAAGUACCUUGGGCACUUGGGAAAUGCCUGUUUCGUUUCAUUACAUUGAGCGGUGAUAAGAAGAUUCAGACACUAAUUGGCAUUUUCCCCUAAAUCUCCAUGGAAAUGCAGUCUCUACUCCAGGGCACCAUGUACUGCGAGGACUUUAUACUCGCCCUCCGAGUGAAAGGAGAAUGAAGGAAUGAAUACAGAGGUGGACAGGGUCAUUUCUGUCCCAUAACUGCAUAUUGUCGACAUUUUUCUUUUCUGAGAUGGCGUCUCGCUCUGUCGCCCAGGCUGGAGUGUGGUGGCAUCAUCUCAGCUCACUGGAACCUUUGCUUCCCGGGUUCAAGCGAUUCUCCUGCCAUGACAGGCACCCACCACCAUGCCCGGCUAAUUUUUGUAUUUUUAGUAGAGACGAGGUUUCACCGUAUUGGCCAGACUGGUCUUGAUCUCCUGACCUCGUGAUCCACCCACCUUGGCCUCCCAAAGUGCUGGGAUUACGGGCGUGAGCCACCGUGCCCAGCCUUU